rnacentral:rRNA from 1 species
GCUGGAACGCGCCCCAGGCGCACCCAGAAACCCUUUGUGAACUUAUACCUUACUGUUGCCUCGGCGCAUGCCGGCCCCCCUGGGGGCCCCUCCUUCUGGAGGAGCAGGCACGCCGGCGGCCAACCUAACUCUUGUUUUUACACUGAAACUCUGAGAAUAAAACAUAAAUGAAUCAAAACUUUCAACAACGGAUCUCUUGGUUCUGGCAUCGAUGAAGAACGCAGCGAAAUGCGAUAAGUAAUGUGAAUUGCAGAAUUCAGUGAAUCAUCGAAUCUUUGAACGCACAUUGCGCCCUCUGGUAUUCCGGAGGGCAUGCCUGUUCGAGCGUCAUUUCAACCCUCAAGCCUGGCUUGGUGAUGGGGCACUGCCUGUAAAAGGGCAGGCCCUGAAAUUCAGUGGCGAGCUCGCCAGGACCCCGAGCGCAGUAGUUAAACCCUCGCUCUGGAAGGCCCUGGCGGUGCCCUGCCGUUAAACCCCCAACUUCUGAAAAUUUGACCUCGGAUCAGGUAGGAAUACCCGCUGAACUUAAG